UACGUAGGCAGCGAGCGUUGUUCGGAGUUACUGGGCGUAAAGAGUGUGUAGGCGGUGCUCCAAGUCUGGUGUGAAAUCUCCCGGCUUAACUGGGAGGGUGCAUUAGAAACUGGAAUGCUAGAGGAUGGGAGAGGUAAGCGGAAUUCCUGGUGUAGCGGUGAAAUGCGUAGAUAUCAGGAGGAACACCUGUGGUGUAGACAGCUUACUGGACCAUUUCUGACGCUGAGACACGAAAGCGUGGGGAGCGAACAGG
rnacentral:rRNA from 1 species